rnacentral:rRNA from 1 species
GACGUAGGGCGCGAGCGUUGUCCGGAUUUAUUGGGCGUAAAGAGCUCGUAGGCGGCUUGUCGCGUCGACUGUGAAAACCCGCGGCUCAACCGCGGGCCUGCAGCCGAUACGGGCAGGCUAGAGGUCGGUAGGGGAGACUGGAAUUCCGUGGUGUAGCGGUGAAAUGCGCAGAUAUCAGGAGGAACACCGGUGGCGAAGGCGGGUCUCUGGGCAGUAACUGACGCUGAGGAACGAAAGCGUGGGUAGCAAACAGG